UACGUAGGGGGCAAGCGUUAUCCGGAAUUACUGGGUGUAAAGGGAGCGUAGACGGUAAUGUAAGUCUGGAGUGAAAGGCGGGGGCCCAACCCCCGGACUGCUCUGGAAACUAUGUUACUAGAGUGCAGGAGAGGUAAGCGGAAUUCCUAGUGUAGCGGUGAAAUGCGUAGAUAUUAGGAGGAACACCAGUGGCGAAGGCGGCUUAUUGGACUGUAACUGACGUUGAGGCUCGAAAGCGUGGGGAGCAAACAGG
rnacentral:rRNA from 1 species